AUGAUGCUCAGACUGUCUGUUCUGCUGACAGCGCUCUGUCUGCCCUGUUUGUAUGGUCAGGCUAUGGAGUCCAUUCCCUCCACUCCAGUGCUGAAAAAGCCUCAGGAAGCUCUCAGUCUUUCCUGUAGAGGAAGUGGUUUCAGUUUUGGCAGCUUUGGAAUGGACUGGAUCAGACAACCUGCUGGAAAAGCAUUAGAAUGGCUUGGGCUUAUUUGGUCUCAUGGAAGGAGAACUACUUAUGCGAGCAGUGUGGAAGGACGUAUAGAAAUCACCAAAGACAACAGCAACAGCAUGGUGUACCUGAGACUGUCCAGCCUAAAGCCAGAGGACUCUGCUGUGUGUUACAGGUCAGAGUAUGGAGUCCAUUCCUUCCACUCCUGUAGUGAAAAGGCCUGGGGAGACUCUCAGUCUUUCCUGCAGAGGAUCUGGAUUCACAUUUACCUGCUGUACUAUGCACUGGAUAAGACAAAAACCAGGAAAAGCACUGGAAUGGAUGGCAGAAGGCUUCUCAUCUUCUAG